rnacentral:lncRNA from 1 species
CUCUGGCAUUCCCAGGACCUUAUAUCUUAUAUGUGUGACACAUUUACCAUGCUGAGAACCUCUGGUUCUCACCCCAUACUAUGUCGUUGUUUUUCAGAUGCAGGUCGGAGGCACCUCGUUAGGCGUCUGGACUUUUGAAGCGAAGUGGUUAUCGGGUUACUUUUUGAUUGUAUAGUCAUGUAUAUAUAUGGACUUAGUUUUCUCUCCGCAUGAUUUGUUCCUUUUGACCCUCUUAGAGGCUUAUGGAGAGGCAGGAUUUUGUUUAUGUAAAUUUGGAUUUUGGAUAUGUAUAUAUUAUGUUUAAAUAUUCUCUGGCCAGCCUUGACUUCGCGGGUUGAGUUAGGAGCUUAUUAUUUUGUAUCUUUGGCCCUCUAGUCCUACUUUUGUUAUCUUAUACUUGACAGUUAUAGUUUUCUUAAUACGCAAGUUAACUCGUUUCUCUGAGUAUUGCGCUUUUAAUUCGCGAUUUUUAUUUUAUCUGUUCUUCAAGUCUCCUAGUUUAUUAUAUUCUUUCUGCUAUUGUAUGUACAUAUUUUAUUUUUAGAGGUCGUAAUAUCACACCACCUUUGUUUUACGGCUUAAGCGUAAAGCUCCAUGUGGUAGGGUGUUACAUGUUAUCACCAUUUUAGCACUGCUGUAAAUGUGAAAUACCAAAACAAAAAUUAGAAACAAGAUAUAACACUAAUUACAAUUUUUCUCAUUCACUUUUAUUCAAAAUUUUUAGAAAAAUUUUGGCAGAACCUCCCCUAAAACUUGAAUACUUUCACUGUCUACGAUUCCAUCAAAACAACCAAUUCAUCACUUAUUUCUCAUUCAAUACACAACCAAAUUUAUCAAACCAACAAAACCCAUUCACAAACAUACGCAUAAAAUCAUAUAAUUUUAUUUGAUGGUAAUCAGUGACUAAGAAAGGGGGGUUGAAUCUUAGUCCAUUUUUUGCUGAAUAUAGAUUUCUGAUUUUUCAAGAAACCUCAGGAGAUAUUUCUGCUUUUUGUCUCGUGUCGAAUUGAGAGACACUUUUGUUUUGUCUCGUAAAGAAUUGAGAGAUAUUUUUGUUUUUGUCGCCUGAUAAACAAAAACUGAGAAAGGAGUAGGGAAGAAGAAUUAAUACCAGAUAUAUUCUGAUUCAGCCACUAGGUGCAAUGUGGCCUACGUCCAGUCUCCAUCACAACAAUGAUGGAAUUUCACUAUGUUAUCACAAUAUUACAAACACCAAUUUCUCCCUAGGAACUACCUAUUCCUAUCUGGGACAAAUCCAAAUUCUACACCCAAUCUGAAUUUGACUAGGACUCAAAACCUAGCUUUCAACCACAAAGUGCUAACCCAACUUGCAAGGGAAUCCCCAUAGGAUCAUGACACACAACAGAAAGAUGUACAAAGAAACUCUGAGACAUCUAUGACUUUUUCUCUAAUAUUGAUCACUGAUUUUUUUUCUCUCACUAGCUUUUUCUUACAAACCUCACCAUGUUUGCCUUUUACCAUGAGACUCAGGCAGACAAUAUUAAGAAAAAGAAAACAAAAUGAACACCAGUGAAGGAGAAGAACUCAGGAAGCUUCAGGGUAGCUAUGGGAACUCUGUGCUUACUCUCCUUGAUCUCAACCCUUGGCUGUUCACCCUUAUUAUAGAAGGGGAAGCUUCCAAGGUUGAAACCGGUUCAACCAAGAACUUCUUCUCCAACCAAAAACAGUAGCGGUUCGGACAAAGAGAAGAGAGAGGGAAAACCAAAAACCAACAUGCAUGUACCUCUCUCAACUCUUUUCAUCAAGCUCCUUCCAUCUGAACUCUUGAUCUUGUCUUUGGCUCCAAGAAAGAAUUCGGACCCUUGAUGAUCUUCUGACCCAAGACAGCUUCUUGCUUUCCAUUUUCCUACGUGUAGCUCAACGACUGUCUUCUUUCUUUGAUGAACAAAAAUAGAACUAAACUUUUUCACCUCAGAAUUGCUUCUUCAACGAGGCAGAUUGUUUCUUUUCUUGGCAUCAAAAUCUUGAGGCCAUCUUCCAAAAUCUUUCCUUCUGAAGUAAAGAUCUUCUUUUCUUCUUCAUAGCUUUUUUUCUGUAAGCUUUUCUGAUAACUUCUUCAAUCUUCUUCUCUGAUGGAUGUGACAGAAAGACAAGAGAGAGGAGAGAAGAGAGAAGAGAGAAGAGAGAAGCUUUCAAUUCACAAUAAACUUAAUUUAAUUUUGAGUUUCGGUUACCAUGGAGUGUAUUUAAUCAAAUUGAAUUUUGAAUUCCAAUCACAAGGAAGUAGGUAACCGAGGCUUGCUUUGAGAACCUUUGGGUUCUUUUCCUUGAUCCUUCAAUAUUGGUCUAUAGGCUUGUGAUAUGGGAUUUGGCUCCUCUGAAGUUAUUCAUUUACUUUAGAGAAAAAAGUAACGCAAUCUAAACCCUUAAUAAUAUAAAUGGUUCUGAUUCUCUUAAAUAAAUAAAUAGAUUAAAUGUAGACUCUUUAAAGAAUUAGUUGAAAAUCGUGCGACAAUUGCAGCAACUUCCAAGACUGCGUAAUUUCUUCUUUUUAUUUAUCUUCUCUCUCUUUUAUUUAGUUUUUUCUUUCUUUUUCUUCAACAAAAAAAAUAUUUUCGAUUCUAUUAUUUCACAACAUUUAAUUUUCUUUUUAUGUUUUAUUAUCAUGUUCUUCUAUGAUAUUAUUGUUGUUUUGGUUUUCUUUUUCUUUUUUAUUUUUGUCCUCUAUAGCUUACAUUUAAAGUUUUGUCAUGAAAGAGAUUAACAGUGAUCACUAAUAAUUUUUCAUCUUUUUUAAAUCUUGAACAAUUUUUAAAAAAAUCUGAUAAAAAGUAUAAAAUAAAUUAAUUUAAAAUGGAUCAAGAAAUAUUUUUUUAUUUUUUAUUUUAAUAUAAAAAAAUACUCAUAUAAAUGUACUCAAUCUUUUUUAUAUAAAUGUACUCAAUAUUUUUUGUUUAUACUUGAAAUAAGAAUGUAACAAAUUAAGGAAUGUUUAGAGUAAUUAAUGAUAUGAUGUUGGUUUAAUAGAUCUCUAAUAAAUUGAUAUUGAUAUACAUUAAAUUAAUUAAUUUAUAUUUUUAUGUGUUUAUGACGCUUGUUUCAUGUCUAAUGUUAUAAUUUAAAUUUAAAUGUGGGAAUGGUUAAAGAAAAUAUAGUAACUAAAUGAUAGAAUGAAAAUAUUUUUUUUGUCGAAGAAAAAAAAAGAAAAAACUAAAUAGAAGAGAGAAGAUAAACAAAAAGAAGAAAUUACGCAGUCUUAGAAGUUGCUGUAGUAUUUCAACUAAUCCUAUUAGACAGUCUACAUUUAAUGUAUUUAUUUAUCUAAGAGAAUCAGAACCAUUUAUAUUAUUAAGAGUUUAGAUUGCAUUACUUUUUUUUCUAAAGUAAAUGAACAAUUUCAGAGGGCCAAAUCCCUUUGUUGCAAGAUGCAAAACGAAAGCCAAUACAAUAGCUGACAGAACUCCAACUACGUAAUAUGAACCUAAGUUAAUAAAAGCACCCAUUCUCUGCCGUUUAGAUCCUCUAACAAUUCCUGAAAGAACACCCUGCAGCCCGUCCAAGAAAUUGGAUGCUGCAAGAAUUGGCAGCAUGAGUACCACGUGUCUAACCACUUGUACGUCAUUACUAUAAACAUGGCCCCAAACCUUGCGUAACAGUAUCAUCAGUGUUGCAACUAGUCUGACACUAAAGAACACUAAAAGCAAAAAGGUAUGGAAUUAUUAACUUAGCAUAUCUUCCUGCUUCCGUGGAGAUUUCGUGAUCGUGGCCAAAUAAAAUCAAAAUGGAUUUUGUGUUUGCCCAAACAAUAGAGAUGGGUACGCAAAGAAUGGUAAGAACAAGCAUGGCUCUUUGAGUGUGUAUGCCUAACAUCUGAUGCUGUCCGGCUCCAUAUGAUUGGCCACACAAAGUUUCCAACGUACUUGCAAUUCCCAUCUGUCAUUAUAUGAAACCAACAAGGAGUUGAACACAAAGUUAGUUGAUUUAAUAGGAACAGUUGGCAAUGAAUUAAUUCGCUUCUAGUUUCCAUGCCAUGGAGGGGUGUAACCAGAUCUGAUUGGUGUUAAAUAUUUUUUAACAAAUUCUUUAUCAAAUCCAAAUUAUAAACGAAAAAAGAGGAGAAAAAUUCGAUUGUUGAAAUCGUAAAAAGAAUAUUAAGAGAUGAAAGUAAAAAGAACUAAUCACUAGACCAAUGCCAGUGACAGAAGUAAAGGAAAUGGCCAUGCAAACGCUGGAGAGAGUCAACACGCUUACAUGACCAACGAACAUUAUUGAAAUAAGUUCGAUGGCAAAAUUAAGAAAAUGCACCAUAAUUAAAGGUGCUGCCAAAUAUAUUUGCUUUUUUAUUUCUUUAAGUAUUGUCCUUAACUUGUUUUCACGGGACACGCGAGGUUCACCAGAGAUACCGGUAUUAUUCUCCUGUUCUCCCUCCAUGGAUUAAUUUUUACACAAGAUGUAGAGACAAGAAGUUUGUGAGAAAUUUAUGGGAAAUUAAAAAAGAUAUCCUUUCGUUUUGGGUUUUAUUGUUGAAGAGAGAAAAUAAAAAGAAAGAAGAGAUGGUAGAAUCAUGUUACACGCAUGAGUUAAAGGGAAGGUGGGAAGCAACUUUCACGCAUGAAUAAAGGGAAGGUGAGAAACAACUUUCACGCAUCGGUCUGGCCGGUUCUACCGUAAAAUUGGUAAAUCGGAAGCUAAAUCGGUUUCGAAUGGCUUGCUAAAUAAAACUUUGAAUUGCCCUCAAAGGAUAUGGGACUAAAGUACUUGGAUUACAAGAUAAGUGUGGAAAAAAGCACUCUUAUUCAGCAAUAUCCACAAGAUCACAUGAUCAUAAUGCUAGAUCUCAAUAGGUUUGUGCACAUUUAUUUACACAUUUAUUUUGUGCACCACAAGGAUAGCAACACCAGCUUUGAACUAAAAUGUGGACAUAAUGACGUAAUUAUUUUAACAUUAGUGCUCAUACAAUAUAAUAUACGAUUAAAAAUUCAUAUUAGUUCAACGUAAUGUUAGUCUGCUACAUUGCAGAACGACAUGUAAGUUCUGCGAUGAUACUAACCUUUGGUUUAAGAAACUAUAGACUAAUAUACUACAUUUCAUUCAAAUGGAUGAUCGGCUAACUUGAUUAAUGUAAACCUGUUUCCUAAGCAGCUACAAUAUACUUUAAAGAAUAGUGGACAGAUAUGCCUUCCAACUUCCACAUCAAAAACAAUGAAUUGGAAGAAUGCAUGAUCAGCCUCCCAAUCUAGAGCUGUUUUCCGUUUUGCUUUGAAACUCAGUAGAUUCUGGAUGGAAUCACCCUUUACAAGAACAAGUACUCCCAGAUCUUAAAAAAGGGCACAAGGGCUCAGAUUUAUAACAUUUAGAUUCUAGUUCCCUCACCAUUAGUAGCUCCAUACACUUACUGUCGAAAUUGUGACUGGAAAGUCUUUACACAAAUGAAUAAUGGCUGGAAGAAUUUGAGAAGUACGGGAAUAUAAUAAAAACUAUGAUCAGUUGGAUUGAACAUACUUUUUUCUGUAUCAGUUCCUCCAGCUCCCCCUUCAACCGCAAGUAAGUGUUAGCUAAUUAGUCCAAUGGUCAACUACCAAAAAUAUUGGAUUAAUUUUGAUAGCGUACCCCUGAGUUUAGGAGGUGCAUCGAUGAAUUAUUUUUGGAUAUUGUUGUCUUCUUUCAACUUGGUGUGAAAAAUCAAAUACGUUGUCCUUGUCCCAAAUGCAAUAAUUUUUUUGUUCAAACUUAGAAAUGAAGCUAUCAUCUUGUGCACCAUUAGGGGAUAGUGACUUCAUAUAAAACAUGGGUACAUCAUGGUGAAAUUCUUCAAGAUAUAUCAACUAUAGACGUGUUUGAUUUAAAUGAGAUUGAUUGUGAAAGGGAGAAUGAUUCUGCCACUUAUGAGAUGUUGUAUAACAUCUUUAGAGGAAAACACUAGGAAAGACGUCGAGAGAUUUUACUGUCAACGUAGAUAAUAAUAGAGUAGAAGAACCUCAUGAGGGGGCAAAAUAGUUCCAUAAGCUAAUGAAGGAUGCUAAGCUAAGCUUGUAUCUAGACAGUGGGAUUUUGAGAUGGGUGAAAGAGAAGGGGAAUGAAAAAGAUGACUCUCAUAAGAAGGUGUCCCAGAAGAUACUAAGAUACUUUUCGUUGAAACCUAGGCUCCAAAGGAUUUUCAUGUGUGAAAAAACAACACUAGCAAUAAGGUGGCACAAAAAGAAACGUCUUGACGAAAGAGUCUUAAAACACCCAGCAAAUUCUAUAGCAUGGAAGAAAUUUGAUGAAGAACACGAAGGAUUUGCAUGUGAUGCUAGAAAUAUCAGACUUGGAGUUGCUAGUGAUGGAUUCAAAUUUCAAUCCAUUUGGCAAUAUGAACAUUUCAUAUAGUACUUGGCCAGUUGUUCUUAUUUCAUAUAACUAUCAUCCAUGGAUGGUUUUGAAAUAUUCAAAUUGAAUGUUAUCCUUACUUAUUAUAGGCCUUAAAUCCCCCGAUAAUUCUAUUGAUGUAUACUUACAAUCAUUAAUUGAAGAGUUGAAAGAAUUGUGGGAAGAUGGUGUUGAAACAUUUGAUGUGGUUAAAAAACAGAAUUUUUAGUUGUUUGCUACAGUUUUAUGGACAAUAAACUAUUAUUCAACUUAUGCCAUGUUAUCUGGUUGGAGAACCAAAGGUGCACUACCAUGUGUAUGUUGCCACAGAGAAACUAGUUCUAAAAGGCUGAAGCAUGGACACAAGCAUUGUUAUAUGGGUCAUCGCCGAUAUUUGCCACAUGAUCAUCCAUGGCGAAAAAACAAGAGUUAUUUUGACAAUACCAAGGAACUUGGUGAAGCACCUAGGCCGCUUUCUAGUUAUGAUGUGUUAGAAGAAUACAAGACUUUUGAAUAAACAGAGUUUGGAAACCAUACUAAGAAGAGAAAGAAGUCUGAGCAUGACAAGGUAUAACUGAAAAAUGGAAUAAGAAAAGCAUUUUCUUUUAGUUGCCUUAUUGGAAGACAUUAUUGUUGCAUCACAAUUUAGACAAAAUGCAUAUAGAGAAGAACGUCUUCGAUAAUUUUCUCGACACACUGUUAAAUUCAGAUGGAAAAACAAAGGACAAUCUUAAUGCACAACUUGAUCUUCAACUUAUGGGUGUCAAGAAAGACUUUCAUCCACGUAGAGUGGGCAACAACUUUGUGAUGCCGAUAGCCAAAUAUACAUUGUCAAAGACAAAGAAGUUGAAUAAUAAAAAAAACAACUUUGUUAGUUCUUGAAAGAACUCAAGAUGCCUUAUUCAUAUUCAUCAAAUAUUGGUGGGUGUGUGUAUGUUGAAGAUUGUAAAAUUUAUGGCUUGAAGAGGAAUGAUUGCCAUGUCCUAUUAGAACGAUUGCUACCACUUGAAGUUUGUGAACUAUUGAUACAUCUAGGUAUUAAUUGAAGUGUUUGAAUGUAUUGUAUUAUAAAAUGUACAGGGAAUCAGCCUCUUUAUAGAGGAAUUACAGAAAUAGAAAUAACUAGAAAAUAGAAAAGAAGGAAAAAAUACUAGCCUAAAAUAAAGGAAAGAUUUCUAAUCAUAAAAUCCCUAAAAUUAAGCUAAACCCAAAAAGGAAAAGAUUUAUAAUUAAUUCUAUUUACAUAAGAUUCAUAAAAGGAAUUAGGAAUCUGAUUUUGAUUUGAUUUAGUCAACACUCCCCCUCAAGCUGGCUUGAAGAUAUAAUUCAUUGACAGCUUGCUUAUUAUGCUAUCAAAAGUCUUCUUGGGUAAUCCUUUAGUUAGAAUAUCUGCUAAUUGUUCCGUGGUUGGAACAUAUGAGAUGCAAAUCUGUCCUCUCUCAAUCUUUUUCCUGAUAAAAUGCUUGUCAACUUCAACAUGUUUAGUUCUAUCAUGCAACACUGGAUUAUGAGAAAUGGAAAUUGCAGAUUUGUUGUCACAAUACAACCGCAUUGGUGGAGAAAUGGAAACGUUUAGUUCUUGUAGGAUUUUCUCUACCCAUAUUGCUUCACAUAUUCCAUGAGCCACUGCUCUAAACUCAGCUUCUGCACUACUUCGUGCCACAACACUCUGUUUUUUACUCCUCCAACUAACCAGGUUUCCGCCAACAAAAGUACAAUACCCAGAUGUUGACCUUCUAUCCAUGACAUUCCCAGCCCAAUCUGCAUCUGUAUAAGCUUCUAUUCGAAGAUGUCCAUGCUUUUUAUAGAGUAACCCUUUUCCAGGCGACCCUUUCAAGUACCUUAGGAUUCUAAAGACAGCAUCCAUGUGUUCUUGACCAGGUGAAUGCAUAAACUGGCUUACCAUGCUCACAGCAAAGGCUAUAUCCGGACGUGUAUGGGAUAAAUAGAUUAGCCUCCCUACCAACCGCUGAUAUCUCCCUUUGUCCAUGACAUUUUCUGGUUCAGCUGGCUUCAAUUUUAAAUUAGGCUCUAUAGGUGUUUCAGCAGCUUUACAACCAAGUAAUCCCAUCUCUUUUAAAAGAUCUAGGAUAUACUUUCGUUGGUUCAUAAAAAUGCCUUCCUUAGACCUUGCAAAUUCAAUUCCAAGGAAGUAUUUUAAUGAGCCAAGUUCUUUGAUUUCAAAUGCUUUGGCAAGCUUCUCCUUCAAGUCUUUUAGCUCCAAAAAAUCAUCACCUGUCAGAAUAAUGUCAUCCACAUAUACAAUUAAGAUGGCAGUUUUAUUAGCUGCUGAAUGCUUAUAGAAAAGUGUAUGGUCAGCUUGGCUUUGAGUAUAACCAAGUCCCUUCACCACCAUUCCAAGUCGUUCAAACCAAGCUCUUGGGGAUUGUUUCAAUCCAUAGAGAGAUUUCUUUAGUUUGCACACUUUAUUCCUCCCUAGUUCAGCUUCAAAUCCAGGUGGAAGUUUCAUGAACACCUCUUCCUCUAGUUCCCCAUUCAGGAAAGCAUUCUUUAUAUCCAAUUGGUGUAAAGGCCAAUUGUAAUUCGCAGCAAGAGAUAAGAGAAUCCGCACAGAACUGAGUUUGGCAACUGGAGCAAAAGUCUCUCGAUAGUCUACUCCAUAGGUUUGUGUAUAUCCCCUAGCUACUAACCUAGCCUUAUACCUCUCUAUGCUUCCAUCAGCAUUGCACUUGAUGGUAAAAACCCACCUGCAGCCAACCAAUUUUGUAUUCUGUGGCAGAUCUACAAUCUCCCAAGUUUCAUUUUUCUUGAGUGCAUGCCACUCUUCCAUCACUGCUAAUUUCCAGUUGGGAUCAUCUAGUGCUUCCUCUAUGUUCCUAGGCUCAAACAGAUUUGUAUUUUUAGAAGUAAAAGCUCGAUGUUUUUGAGAGAGAUUUUGGUAAGAGACAUAAUUGGAAAUAGGAUGGUUGGUGCUGGUUUUAAGUACCUUUUUGGUGCAGGUUCUGGUUUCUUUCCUAAGGGCUAUUGGCAAAUUAUUAUUAGAAGUGACAAUUUCAGAUUUACCUGGAAGUUCCUGAAGUACUACAGUUGAGCCGUCUUCCGGGUUUUCAGAUUGGGUUGGUACAGAGAUGAUGGGCUGGUCUCUAGUCUUCUUGGGAUAUUUCCGAACAUAACACCGAAGCUCCUUUUCUUGUGGUAUUUCUUUUCCUGUUUGGAUUCCAACUAAUUCUGGCACAAUUUCAGAAUUGGUUUUCACAUCUUGUUUUGCAAUUGUUUCAGAAUUUACUUGAUUAGUGAAAGUUGUAUCCUCAAUAUGUAAGAUAGGAGUAGGUAAAGGUUCAUGCAAAAAAUUUUCUUCCCUUAGACUCUCCCCUUGAAGAGAAUUUUUCUGAAAAAAGGUUUCAUGUUCCAAAAAAGUAACAUCCAUACUUACAUGAAAUUUCUUGGUGUGUGGAUUGAAACAUUUAUAACCCUUUUGACUUGGGGAAUAGCCAAAGAAUUGUGGGAUAGUAGCCAAUAAAAAUGCAUUUUUCUGCCCUUGGAUCAAGUUUACUUCGAUAUGAAGGUGUAUGUAAAAACACAGUGCAACCAAAUACUUUUAAAGGUAAGUCAGAAUGCAAUCUACAUGCUGAAAAAUUCUUUUUGAAAGUAUCCAACGGUGUGCAGUAAUUUAACACACGUGUGGGCAUUCGAUUUAUGAGAUAGGCUACUGUUAGAACAGCAUCUCUCCAUAAAUACUUUGGAACAUUACCCUCAAACAUAAUGGCACGUGCUACUUCAAGAAGGUGUUUAUUCUUCCUUUCAGCAAUGCCAUUUUGUUGGGGUGUAUUGGGGCAUGUAGAUUGAUGUUGAAUACAUGGAAACAAGUGUUUGAGAUAUGGAAAACUAGGGUGUCCUAGUCUAUUGUGCCAGAGAAUUAUUUGGUCCUUUAUAGGCAUAGAACUUAUACCACUAAAUCCUUGAGCUAUUUUAUCCUCCGAAAUAUCCUCAAAGUGAUAAAGCCCAUCCAUCAUCUUAGCACUGCCAAUCAUCUUCCCCGAAGUCCAGUCCUGAAAAAUACCAUGAGUGUGACGAGGUUUAUUGCAGUGGUCACACCAAAGAUUGGAGGGGUGCUUCUGAUUUGAUGAACUUUUAAGUGCAGCAGGUGCCACUAAAAGUGCAUUAGACUCCAAAGAGGUCUGUUCAGUCUUGCUUUUUCCCAUCAUCACAGCUCUACGAGUUUCCUCUCUUCUAACUUCAGCAAAUACUUCUCCAAUUGAGGGUAGGAUUGCUCUUCCAAUAAUUCUGCCACGAACUUCAUCUAGCUCCAUGUUGAGGCCUGCAAGAAACUGGAAUAUCCUCCCUUCUUCCACUGUUUGUUGGUGGUGUUUGGCAUCAGCGGCUGAAUUCCACUUGUAGUUAUUAAAGUGGUCAAGAUCCUGCCACACCCGCUUCAAUGUGUGGAAAUAUUUGGUGACAUUGUCACCCCCUUGUUGAAUUUCUCUAGCUUUUAGAGUAAGUUCAUAAAUCUGGGAUUUAUUCCCAAGAUCAGAGUACAUCUCCUUGACACUAUCCCACAAUUCUUUGGCUGUGGUAUAGUACAUGUAGUUACUACUGAUAUCCUCCUCCAUUGAGUUCACCAGCCAUGUCAUCACCAUGGAAUUUUCGGUAUCCUACACAUGAUAUUGUGAGUCAGUGAUGUUAGGCUGGCUUCGCUCACCGGUGAGAUAUCCAAUUUUCCCUCUUCCACGGAUAUACAUCUGAACUGAUUGAGACCACCUAAGGUAGUUUGACCCAUUGAGUCAAAAUGUGGUGAUCUGAACUGAAUGGGAGUCACCACUAACUAGUAUCCGUUGCUCAGAUUUUAAAUCUGAUGGAGUAGGAGUGGUGUUCUCCUUCUGUUCAGGAUUAAUGACUGAGGAACUGUCAGCCAUAGCUAUAAAUCAGAGGCACAGUGCAGAGAUCCUGCUCUGAUACCAAAUUGAAGUGUUUGAAUGUAUUGUAUUAUAAAAUGUACAGGGAAUCAGCCUCUUUAUAGAGGAAUUACAGAAAUAGAAAUAACUAGAAAAUAGGAAAGAAGGAAAAAAUACUAGCCUAAAAUAAAGGAAAGAUUUCUAAUCAUAAAAUCCCUAAAAUUAAGCUAAACCCAAAAAGGAAAAGAUUUAUAAUUAAUUCUAUUUACAUAAGAUUCAUAAAAGGAAUUAGGAAUCUGAUUUUGAUUUGAUUUAGUCAACAGUAUUUUCUUUGGAAAGCUUUGUUCCAAGGAAUUGAAGGUGGAUGUUCUAGACAAACUUAAAAUUCAGAUUGUGACAACACUUUGUAAAUUGGAAAUGGUUUUUUCUCUGACUUUUUUUUAUGUGAUGUUCUUUGAUAGCGUGCUUUGACAAUGAAAGUGGUUAGACAAUUAAAGGUACAUGUGAAAUUGCUUAUAGUUUUAAUACAUAUUCGUAGAUAAUUGAUAUAUUAUUAGUCUAGGUUUAAUUGUAUAUGGAUCUAGUUAUUAAAUUUUACUUGUGUCAUGGUUGAGAAAUGACAAAUGUCCUAUUAUUUGGUUUGAUAAAUUUGGUUGUGUAUUGACUGAGAAAUAAGUGAUGAAUUUGUUAUUUUUGAUAGAAUCGUAGACGGUGGAAAUAUUCAAGUUUUAGGGGAGGUUUUGCCAAAAUUUUUCUAAAAUUUUUUAAUGAAAGUGAAUGGAAAAAAAUUGUAAUUAGUGUUAUAUCUUGUUUUUAUUUUUUGUUUUGGUUUUUCACAUUUACAGGAGUGCUAAAAUGGUGACAACUUGCUAGCUUAAGGACUCAAGAAUAUUUUGAUUCAUAGAAAUACUAAUCUAUGUUAGACUUUUAACUUUUGGUUGAACUUGUGGAACUAAUCAAUGUAACAUCAUACCACACAGAGUCUUAUGCUUAAGUCAUAAAGCUGAGGUGGCAAGGUAUUACGACCUCUAAAAGUAAGAUAUAUAUAUAUAUAUAUAUAUAUAUCAAUGAAAAGAGACAGUAUACUAGGAGCCUUGAAAAAUAGGUGGAACAAAUCGCAAAAUGAAAACCGCAACGCUCGAGGAUUAGGAUUAUAUGCAUGCUAAGAAACCUAGGAGAUAAGGAUAAGGAUAAGCGACGUAGAAAAUAAGGCCAAGAAUAUAUCAUAACUAGCUCCUGACUCAGCCUGCGAAGCCAAGGCUGGCCGGAGAAUAUAUAGACAUACAUAUACAGGUAUCCCAAAAUACUCAAAAUACAAAAUAAGGUCCUAGCUCUCCCUCAGCCUCUAUGAGGAACAAAAUAAACAAGUUUUCUUGGAGAGCAAGCUAGAUACAUAUCUACAUAUAUACAAACAAAACCCAAAAUGAACCCAAGUACUACUCUGCUUCAGGAUCCAGACGCCUAGCGAGGAGCCUCUCGACCUGCAUCUGAAAACAACAACACAAUAUGGGGUGAGAACCGGAGGUUCUCAGCAUGGUAAAGGUGCCACGCGUAUAAUAGAUAAGGUCCUGGGAAUGCCAGAGGAAAUCCUAGAACUUCGUCAUAAAAUUACAAAACUUAGUUUCUAAAUAAAAGCCAUAAUUAGGGAUAGGUAAUCUAAGCUAUUCCUAUACUUACUCAAAUUCAAAUCUAACAUAACCACCAACCCUUUUUCACCCUUCCUCCAUUCCUCUGCCAUUCAUAAAUCAUGCAGAGACAAGCAAACAAACAAGUUCACUCAGAAGUAAGAAGCAGAUAGAGCAAAUAGCAAGAACAGCUGGUAGCAGGAUAAAUAUUCACUUAGGCAGUCUCAAAUAAUGCAUAGCAGUCAAAGCAAACAAAUGCACAUGAUGCAUGUCUAUCCUAUGGCUGAUGAUAUCAUCUGUCGGUUAUAUAGCCAACCCGACACGUCCUGGUAGCUAACCAUGGACUAAAACACCCAUGCAGAACAAGUGGGUUUGAGCUACAACCCCCUUGCUACUACCCGCUUAACCCAGAGCCAGUGGAGUAACCACUACUGCGGCUACUACCCAGGCGGGUGUUUAAAAGCUCAACCUGGAGCAAGUGGGAGACCCACUACUAUUGCUACUACCCAGGAAUCACAACAUACAUUUAUUCAAUCCAAGUCAAGCAUAAUCAUUAUCAAUUCUCAAACAUUGACUUGGAGCAAGCGGGACGAACCACCAUCCUUGCUACUGCCCAGGCAUCUCAAGCAUACAUUCGUUUAUUUCAGAUGAGUUCAAUCAUCCAUCAACAUAUCACUAUCACAAAUGUUCAUCAUUUCCAUCCUUCUUAUUCAUAAUCCAUCAUUUUAACCCUUACUUCACCCUCAAGUUACCUUAAUUUCAUGGCUUCAACUAGCUACUGGACUUAGCACUAUACUUUCAGUCUAAAAGGAAGAAAAGUGGAGGUUUAGAAGUGAGAGUUUGAUUUAAAAUGCCAAAAUCUAGUUUUGCAGCAAACAGGGGCGACGCGUACGCGUUGGUCACGCGUACGCGUGGAAGUGAAAAAUAGCACGCGCGCGCAAUUUUCUUUCAUGCAUACCCGUGGACGAGAACAGCAUGUCACGCGUACGCGUGGUCAUGUAGAUUAGCUCAUCACGCGCACGCAUGGCUACUCGCGCAUGCGUAGUUUGAAUGUCACGCCACGCGUACGCGUGGACCACGAGUACGCGUGGAUGUACGUUCUUCAAAGAACAAUAACAGAUUGCCUGAAAGCUGCAGAACCAAAAUCAGCUAUCUGCAUAACAGUUUUCAUACCAACUUCCAUUAUCCAUAACUUCCUCUACGAAAUUCGGAUUUUCGUAAACCUUAUAUCAAUCUCAAGUUUAUCAAAUAUUCUUUAAUUUAAAACCAACCUCAUUUAUAUCCAAAAUUUGAGGAGCAAAUUAUGGACUUCCAAAGUUCAUCAAAAACCAUUUUUACCAAAUUACACUAAACCUCAUUUUCUUCCAAAAACCAUAUUUUUCCUUUCAAAGCUCAUUCUUAUUCAACCCAAUAUACCAUAACCAUCAAUACAAUUCACUCUUCACCAUCACACAACCAUUCUUGCAAUCUUAAAUCAAGCAUAUCACAUUUCCCUAACUUUACACAUUUUAAUCACGACUAGCAUCUUAAUCCAAUUCCAUUAUUUAUCAUCUUCUUAAAAUUCCUUAAACAUUAACACAACAUUAUUCAUUAUAGCAAAACCAACAAUUCCAAAUAAGCACCAUUAAAUUAAACACCAUCCACAAUCUCAUCCAUACCAUUACUUUGUCAUGACCACAAGCCCUUCCUUCAUCACUAUCACAUUAGCAUAUAUAUAUAUACACAUACACUUAACCCCCACUAUCAAUUAUUCAACACAAGCACUACAUCAAUUUAUCAAUCAAUCAUCACAAACACUAAUCACUUAACACAUUUAGCUAUUUCAACUUAUCCUAUAGUGCGCUAGCCUAAGUUUUCAUAAAACCUUAUAUGUUAAACGUGCGAAACCUAAACCAUAUCUUGACCGACCACUUUAUUCUAUCCAAGGCAGCCUCACAAGCUAGAACCCAGCCCCUCCAAGCUCAAAUAAACCAGCCACAAACUAAGCCUUGAUCACCAAUAAACCUCCAAAUACUCACUUUUCAAUUUCAAUGCAUAUAUAUGACUCAAUUCACCCCUAAUUUAUAUAUAUAUUCAGAUUUUUCAUCAAGAAAUAAAAAUUAGCUAGGGUUUAGGUGAUCCUUACCACACCCAUAUGCGUAGUAACUCAAGCCCAAUAAGUUUCGCAAGCUAAAUCGAACCUAGAACACCAAAUUAAACAAUUUUCAACAUAGGUGCUCAUAAAUUUUCGAAACUAAAACAGAGAAAAUCGAAGAAGGAAAUGUGGAUUUCUUACCUUACAAUGUACCGGGCUUUGUAGAGCUCGACGCUGCGGUCGCGUGGCUGCAAACAGAUCGUCAAUGGGAGCUCCGGAUCAAAAGUUAUCGAGAAAUAAAAUUUCACUAAGGGUUUGGAAGCUUCAAACGCUCCUCCCUUGCUUGCUGAGCCUCCAGCGUUCUGCAUGCCAAAUGAGGGAGAAAAUGAGCUUUAGCUCAUUUAAAUGAUGGGUCCGGUUGGGCCUACGGGUCCGGUUUGGGCCCAGUUCAAUCGGUUCGGCCAAUCCAGUCCAAUUUCGGACCAAAUUUUUUGAAAUUGGUAUCAAACUUCUUGUUUUGAAGAGCUCUAUCUUAUUUUAAUAUUGGUUUUGCAUCCUUAAUUUUUCUAAUUAAUAUUCGAUUUAUUGACUAGUUAUUUACCGUUUUUAGCGGAGUUUACAAUCAAUAUAGACGCUAAUGUUAUUUUGUUUUAAAACAAUUUUAGUUAAAUGAAGCAUGUUUCAAUUAUCUAUGUUAUUAUGUAUUAUGCAAAUAUUGACUUGCUCAGUAAAUUAGUUAAUAUAUCAAUUAAUUAAAAAAAUAAUAAUUUAGUAAAUUAUGUGUGUAACUUGUAUUUAAAAAAAUUAUUAUAAUUUUUUUUGUUUGUAAUGUAAAAGUAUUAUUCAUGUAUAAUGAAAUUGACAAAAAUCAAAUACUAUGGUCGAAUUCUUGAAGAGAAGAAAGAGAGAUUGUAGUUCAAUUUAUUUUGAUGAUGUUGGUAUGAGAAUAAAGAGGAAGAUGAGAGAAAGAGAUUAACUAGAGUAAAAUUUUUAUUUGAGCUUUGAAAUUUGAUGCAUCAAGCUUCAAAGAUUAAUGAAUACGGAGCUUUUUCAUUUUUUCUCUUUCUUCCUUAAUGUUUCAUUUUUUCUCUUUCUUCUUUAAUGUUUCUCAUUAUUAUUAUUAUUAUUAUUAUAUUAUUAUUAUUAUUAAAUAGUUUUUCAACUUUCAAGUAAUUAUCACUUUAUUUAUAUGCAUCCAUGGUCAACUUUGGUUGUCAGAAACUAAGAAUAGAAAGAAUUAAAAAAAAUCCAAAAUUUAGUAUUUUAUGAACAUAUUAUAAGUUAUUAUUAACUUUCGACCUUGAUCCAACUUUAUAAAUAUGCGUGAGAAGUCCUCAAUAGAAACCAUUAAAAGAGAAAAUAUUUUAUUUGUGACUUCAACCUAGCCUGUACUUUUAAAUCCAAAAAUUAGAAGACAUGAUGAAAAUUGCAACAAAGAUAACAUUUGUGAUGAUUCUUCUUGCUUUAGUAGUCACCAAUGGUAAGUAUUUUUCUUUUUAUCUUGUAUUUUUUUUCUUUCAAUAUCUAAAUUAUUGUAUUACCAAAGACCAAUUAAUCUUGUUUACAACCUCCCUUAGCAUAAUUUUUAAUUAGUUACGCGUAUUAUUGUUAAUUUUUUCUUCUUCCUCUCUGUAUGUGUUCGUUAAAAUAUUGUAAAUUGUUUAUGAUAAUCAAAUUAUAUUAGAAAUAAUGAUUCUUUUUUUUAAUCUCUCCGUAGGGUUUGGUCUCCCAAAAAUAUCAAGAAAGGUGGUGCCUGAAAGAGAUUGUCCUGGUGAUUGUGUAAAUUUUAUAUUUCUUUGUCAUCCGAAAAUUCCUACGUGUGUGAAUGGAUUUUGUGUGUGUACAGGGUUAGACAAUAAUAAUUCAACCACAAAACAAGAACGCCACGAUUAAAAAUAAAAACUAUUAGGUUAGUAUAUGGGUACCGUUAUGAAUGCGUAUGUGCGGCUUGUGGCCUUUAUAUGACAGAUUUUAGUAUAUAGCUAGUAUAAUAAUAAAAUAACAAAUUCAAUAAUAAAAUUUCUAAAUUUAAUAAUGUUAUUAUUUUUGGAUGUAAAAUGUGUGAUGUCUUAUAUAAUUAUAUAUUAGGAUGGAAUUAGAGUAAAAAUUGAAUCUAGUUUUUAUCUAAUUUUACGGAAGACAACACGACUUUUACAUAUAAAAAAGGAUACUCCGAUCCCCUGACAUUAUUAUUUUUAGACAAUAAGAAUUUUCGUUAAAGAAAUCAUCAAAUUGUAACGAUAAUUAUUUUUGUGGGGAUUAUUUGAUAGUAUGUUUAUUUAAAAAAAAAAUAUAUACUGGUAGUGGUCAAAUGAAAAUGGACCAUUGAAAAAAAAAUAUAGUAUAGAAAAAAUUUUAAGUGUAAUAAAAACAUUAGUGUUCUAGUUGUUUUUAUCGUUGAUCUGAAUUAUAAAAAAUAUAUAUAAUAUAUAUUAAUUAAAAUCAACGGUUAAAAUAAUUGGAAUACCGGUAUUUUCGAUACAUUUAAAAUUUUUCCUAUAGUAUAAACAUCUUUAAAAAAAAAUAACAUAAUACAAAAAAAUUAAAGAAAGUGAAAGUAACAAGAAUUUGUAUACCCUUAUCAUUAAGAAUAAAUUGAUUUAGUUAAAGGACUUUGAGCAAAAUUCUUUUUGAGCUUGUGAGAUGAAGAUGAUUUUUUCGUUAAAUAAUUAAGAUACUUAUAUUACUUUGAUCAAUGUCUACAUUAGUUAUUUAUUUGGUUUAAGCUGCACAAUUAUCUUACUCAUUCAUCAUGCCCCACUUAGUAAAAGUUACAUAUAUGAUUCAUAAGUCCUCGUUGGAUUUGGAUGAAAGUUGUCAUAAAAAAGUUGUUUAUUUAUUUGAUAAGGUAGGAACCAUCUUAAUCACCACAAAUAUAUAUUGAAUAAUUAGUCUACAAAACUCUCAUCGAAAAUGGUUGUUCUUUUUGUGCUAAGUAUUAUAUUUCUAUUUACUAGUAAUUCUUUAUGAUACUUAUUACAAUGUAAUUGCUCUCUCCUAGAUCCAGGUAAUACUCAAAUCCAUUUUUAAAAAUUACGUCAUUUUUUAAAUUAGUCAUAAAAAGAUUUUGUAAGUCAUAUUAAAACUAUAAAUAUAUAAAAAUGAAAUCAAUUCUUCCAUUAAUUAGAUGAUGAUGUGUUACAGUAAGUGUCAUAUGGCAUGAUAUUAGUGGCACAAAUAUUCAAUCCGACCCGCAAUAGAUUAGAUUAAGAUCGGAGUAGGUUGAGUUGCGGAUAGGAUUAGGUGUUGAUUUAGGUCUAUUCUUUUCGACCUAAUCACUACAAGAAAAUAGAGCAUUUGUAACAAAAAUUUUGUGUCAAAUUCAAAAUUAUUACAAAAAGAUUUUUUUUUGUAACAAUAAUUGGUGAUUGUUACAGAAUAAUAAUGUUUUGUAAUAACAAUACGAGUUGUUACAAACCAUGUUAAUAUUUUGUAAUAACCUGAUAUUUUUAUUACAAAUUAUGUUAGUUUUUGUAAUAAACCAGUAUUUUGUUACAAAAUUUUAUAAUAUUUUAUAACAAAAGAUAAAGUAGUUGCAAACAUUCAAAAUACUUUGUAAUGAAAAAUUAAUUUAACACAAAAUUAAAUAUUAUUUGUAACAAAUUAUUUGUUUGUCACAAAAUGCAAGUAUUUUUUGUAACUAAAUUUUUUUUUCAAAAUUUUGAAAUCUUUAAGGGUAAAAAAAAUUGUUUAUAUAAUUUUUUUAGGAUAAUUUUAUUUUGUUUCAAAAAUAUAAAUUUUUUAAAUAUUGUUUGUAUUUAUUAAUUUUUUUAGUAAAAAAAUUAAAGAUUAAAUAAUUAAUUUUUAAAAGUUGUAUUUUAUAUUUUUAAAUAUUAUUUAUAUUAAUUAAUUUUUUAAAAUUAUAAAUAUUAUUAUAUAUUUUUUAAAAAUUAAUAUAUAAUUUUUAUUAAUAAUAAGAUUUUAAAUGUUAACUAAAAAUUAAUUUGUGAAACUUAAAAGAAUUUAACUGCAUUGUUAAACAUAAAUAACAAUAGUUAAAUGUAAAAGGCAAAGUAAAACAAUAAAAAUCCUAACUUCCUCACCGUCACUCCUCUCUCGACCAUCUCUAUGCCUCCACUCCAUUGAACAAUGGAGCUCCUGCUGGAAGAAGAAGUACCCGCAUAGCUUCCUUUGAAUGCCUCGUCUCCAUCUCCUCCGCCGUCAUCUUCUGCACCGUCAUCGUCUCAUGUGCGUCGUCAUCGUGUUGUGUGCGUCAUCGUGGUCUAGUGUGCAUCGUCGUCUCCUGUGCGUGGUCGUCGGCUCCUGUGCAUUGUGGUCGUAGUAGUCUUCGUCUCCUCUGCAUUGUCGCUAGUUUCUGCAUCGUUGCAAUUCGUGGUCACUGUUUCUACUCCUCUACUCGUCUUGCAUCGUCCUCUGCCUCUGCUGGUUUGGUUCAUCUCAGCUGUUCUUCCUCCACGAGUGGUGCAAGGCGUUGUCAUUCCCUAGUUGCUGAGCAUCGCUUGGUUGCUGAUUUCUGCUCUGCUGAAAGUAAAUGUAUGUUAUUUGAAUAUUGUUGCAUAUAUUGUUCUUUGAUAAUCUAAUUUUUGAUUCUGCUGAUAUUCUUGUUGUCUAUGAAAAUAUUAUUGUGUAAUCUGUUUGAUAAUCUUAUUUUUGGUUAUUUGGGAAGUUGAUUUUGUUUUUUGUUUUUUUGCUUCUUUGUUCUAUUAUUUUGAUUCUUUUUUUUCUUAUAUUUUUGUGUUUGUGAAUUGAGUGUCUUAUUGUCUUGUGGUAACUACAUUAUCCUUAUUAACACAGAAAUAUUAAUUCAAUUUUAUUAUUAAUUUUUUAUUUUUUUACAAUGUAUUGAAUUAGAAUAGUUUGUAUGGGGAAUUAUAGACGCCUCGAAAUUUAGUUUAGAUAGAUCGUUUUAAAAGUGGUAGUCGUUGUGAUGCUAGGUUGUCUCCCUGCUCUUUUUUCCAAUCUUUCUUUACAUCCUUCUCUCAUCCGUUCUUAUCUCCUAUAAAAAUUAGUCCAAUGGUCAACUACCAAAAAUAUUGGAUUAAUUUUGAUAGUGUACCUUGAGUUUAGGAAGUGCCUCGAUGAACUAUUUCUAGAUAUUGUCUUCUCUCAACCUGGUGUGAAAAAUCAAAUACGUUGUUCUUCUUCCAAAUGCAAUAAUUUCUUCUCUCAAACUUAGAAAUGAAGUUAUCAUCAUGUGCAUCAUUGGCGGAUAGUGAUUUCAUACAAAACAUGGGUACAUCAUGGUGAAAGUCUUCAAGAUACAUCAACUAUAGAUGUGUUUGAUUUAAAUGAGAUUGAUUGUGAAAGGGAGGAUGAUUCUGUCACUUAUGAGAUGUUGUAUAACAUCUUUAGAGAAAAAACACUAGGAAAGACGUCGAGAGAUUUUACUGUCAACGUAGAUGAUAAUAGAGCAGAAGAACCUCACGAGGGGGCAAAAAAGUUCCAGAGGCUAAUGAAGGAUGCUAAGCAAAGCAUGUAUCUAGACAGUGGAAUUUUGAGAUGAUCUUUCAUUGUUAAGUUUUUUCAAAUGAAAUAUUGCUAUGGAUGAAGCAACAAUUCAGUUGGUGCUUUGUUGCUCUUUCUAAAAAGCAUAUUUCCAAAGAAAAAUACAUGUCCUACGUUAUUUUACGAUGUUCGACAAGUGAUUCGAGAUUUGGAAUUAGAAUACGAGAAGAUAGAUGCUUGUGUGAAUGAUUGCAUUUUGUUUUGGAGACAAGCAUAUGCUGAUCUUAAUGAAUGUCUAAAGUACAAGAAAUCUGGAUGGGUGAAAGAAAAGGGGAAUGAAAAUGAUGACUCUCAUAAGAAGGUGCCCCAGAAGAUACUAAGAUACUUUUUGUUGAAACCUAGGCUCCAAAGGAUCUUCAUGUGUGAAGAAACAACACUAGCAAUAAGAUCGCAUAAAGAGAAGCAGUUUAAUGAAAGAGUUCUAAAACACCCAGCAGAUUCUAUAGCAUGGAAGAAAUUUGAUGACGAACACGAAGGAUUUGUGUAAACCCCGGUUAAAUUAGUAGAUAAUUAGUUAAUAAAUUAUUUUUUAAUAAGGAGGAUUAGAAAUGCGAAUAUUAUAUCAAAAUAGGGUAGAGCUCAUCGAAACGAGAAUUUUGACACUAAUUUUGAAGAAAACGGUCCAAGAAUGGACCGAAAGGACCGAACCGGUUGAACCGGACCCGAACCGGGCUGUCGGUUCAACCGGACCAGCCCAUUAAAAAGAGCCACGGGCUCAUUUUCUCUUCAUUUCCCUCAGCGACGCAGCAAGCCUCCCAGGGAGGAGAAGAAGAGAAAUUUGUUUACGUGAAAUUCAAUUUCCCGUAACUCCUCCGUUCGAGCUCCGAUCGCCGCACCGUUUGCGGCCACGCGUUCACCGCGUCGAGCUCUACAUUUCUACCGGAACAAUUUCAUAGGUAACUUGCUAUUUCACUCUCAGCUUCAUCUUCCCCCAAUUUUCGAAUUUUAAGUGGGAAUAUUGAAUUUCUUUGAUUUCUGAUGUUUUAGGAUCCAAUUAGCUUGAGAGAAACGUUCACUCUUGCUUAUGUGAAGCUUGGGUAAGGUGAGGAUAUGAUAAUUCUAUUUUAAUUUCAUUAAAUUUGAGCUUUGAGUAUUAAAUUGGGUAUAUAUGUAUUAUGAAUGUGUAUUAGGUUGAAAAUAAAUAAUUGGAGCUUGAAAUUGUGAAUACUGGAACUUAGAGGAAGCGGAUUAGUUGAGUUUUGAGGGGCUGUUUUGGUUUUGAAUAAAUAGCUUUGGACGUUACGUGGAAAUCGGCUAAGGUAUGGUUUAGGUUUCUUGCAUUUAAUAUAUAAUAUUCUGUGAAAACUUAGGCUAGAUGACCAUUGGAUAAGUUGGAAUGCAGGUGUAUGUUUAAUGUUUAGUAAUUUAUCGAUGAAUAUAUUUGGUUGAAGUUUAUUGGAUAAUUAGUUUUUAAUUUUGGAUGGUGAAUGUUGUUAUGUUAAUUUGGAGAGAAUUAUGGUUGAAUGUUAUUGUUGAUUAACUAAUGAUUUGGUGAAUUAUUGAUUUGAGGUAUAACUAUUGUGGAGGUUGUUGUGAUAAUGAGGUAUUUUGUGUUAAAAGCCUAGGAUUUGUGAACUAUGAUCCUUAGUUGAAUUUUGGUUGUUGGAUUUGAAUAUUGUAUGAGUUUAAUUGUUGAUUUGAAGUAGAUUUAUUGUGAUGAUUGUUAUGAUGAUGAGGAAGGGUAUGUUGAAUUGAAAAGAAAGCACGUUUGGA